rnacentral:rRNA from 1 species
UACAGGGGGUGCAAACGUUGCUCGGAAUCAUUGGGCGUAAAGCGCACGUAGGCGGUUCGUUAUGUCGGAUGUGAAAGCCCUUGGCUUAACCGAGGAAGUGCAUCCGAAACUGGCGAGCUAGAGUACUAAAGAGGAUCGCGGAAUUCCCGGUGUAGAGGUGAAAUUCGUAGAUAUCAGGAGGAACACCUAUAGCGAAGGCAGCUUGCUGGGACGUUACUGACGCUAAGGCGCGAAAGCGUGGGGAGCGAACAGG